rnacentral:rRNA from 1 species
UGGCCGCGGGAUUAGAGUUUGAUCAUGGCUCAGGACGAACGCUGGCGGCGUGCCUAACACAUGCAAGUCGAGCGGAGAAUGUGGAUAUGUUUACAUAGAAGCGUUCUUAGCGGCGGACGGGUGAGUAACACGUGGGUAACCUGCCUCAAAGUGGGGGAUAGCCUUCCGAAAGGAAGAUUAAUACCGCAUAAGCCUACAGUAUCGCAUGGUACAGCAGGAAAAGGAGCAAUCCGCUUUGAGAUGGACCCGCGGCGCAUUAGCUAGUUGGUGAGGUAACGGCUCACCAAGGCGACGAUGCGUAGCCGACCUGAGAGGGUGAUCGGCCACAUUGGAACUGAGACACGGUCCAGACUCCUACGGGAGGCAGCAGUGGGGAAUAUUGCACAAUGGGCGAAAGCCUGAUGCAGCAACGCCGCGUGAGUGAUGAAGGCCUUCGGGUCGUAAAGCUCUUUGAUCAGGGAUGAUAAUGACAGUACCUGAAAAACAAGCCACGGCUAACUACGUGCCAGCAGCCGCGGUAAUACGUAGGUGGCGAGCGUUGUCCGGAAUUACUGGGCGUAAAGGAUGCGUAGGUGGAUAUUUAAGUGGGAUGUGAAAUCCCCGGGCUCGACCCGGGAACUGCAUUCCAAACUGGGUAUCUAGAGUGCAGGAGAGGAAAGCGGAAUUCCUAGUGUAGCGGUGAAAUGCGUAGAUAUUAGGAGGAACACCAGUGGCGAAGGCGGCUUUCUGGACUGUAACUGACACUGAGGCAUGAAAGCGUGGGUAGCAAACAGGAUUAGAUACCCUGGUAGUCCACGCCGUAAACGAUGGGUACUAGGUGUAGGAGGUAUCGACCCCUUCUGUGCCGUCGUUAACACAAUAAGUACCCCGCCUGGGGAGUACGGUCGCAAGACUAAAACUCAAAUGAAUUGACGGGGGCCCGCACAAGCGGUGGAGCAUGUGGUUUAAUUCGAUGCAACGCGAAGAACCUUACCUGGUCUUGACAUAGUAAGAACUUUCCAGAGAUGGAUUGGUGUCUUCGGGAACUUACAUACAGGUGCUGCAUGGCUGUCGUCAGCUCGUGUCGUGAGAUGUUGGGUUAAGUCCCGCAACGAGCGCAACCCUUUUCCUUAUUUGCCAGCGGGUUAAGCCGGGAACUUUAAGGAUACUGCCAGUGACAAACUGGAGGAAGGCGGGGACGACGUCAAGUCAUCAUGGCCCUUACGACCAGGGCUACACACGUGCUACAAUGGUCGGUACAAAGGGUUGCUACCUAGCGAUAGGAUGCUAAUCUCAAAAAGCCGAUCGUAGUCCGGAUUGGAGUCUGCAACUCGACUCCAUGAAGUCGGAAUCGCUAGUAAUCGCGGAUCAGAAUGCCGCGGUGAAUACGUUCCCGGGCCUUGUACACACCGCCCGU